UAACACGUGGAUAACCUACCUAUAAGACUGGGAUAACUUCGGGAAACCGGAGCUAAUACCGGAUAAUAUUUUGAACCGCAUGGUUCAAAAGUGAAAGACGGUCUUGCUGUCACUUAUAGAUGGAUCCGCGCUGCAUUAGCUAGUUGGUAAGGUAACGGCUUACCAAGGCAACGAUGCAUAGCCGACCUGAGAGGGUGAUCGGCCACACUGGAACUGAGACACGGUCCAG
rnacentral:rRNA from 1 species